CUUUAGAGUCUUUUUACAACAGAUUAAAAAAAAAAAACGCUGAUCAGCCAACAAGAAAGGGGCCCCUGGGAAAGAAAAAGAAAAAAUAUAUAAUUUGCUUUUCAAAAUCGUGGAUCCACGUUUCAGUAUUAUUAGGGGAGUAUUUAGAGUUAACUCUACUUUUAAAGUGCAUUGCAUUAUUUAAGAAAAAGAAAAAUUUGUUAUCUUUAAC